rnacentral:rRNA from 1 species
UACGUAGGGGGCUAGCGUUGUCCGGAAUCACUGGGCGUAAAGCGCGUGUAGGCGGUCCGGUAAGUCCGCUGUGAAAGUCGGGGGCUCAACCCUCGGAUGCCGGUGGAUACUGUCGGGCUUGAGUCCGGAAGAGGCGAGUGGAAUUCCUGGUGUAGCGGUGAAAUGCGCAGAUAUCAGGAGGAACACCAAUGGCGAAGGCAGCUCGCUGGGACGUGACUGACGCUGAGACGCGAAAGCGUGGGGAGCAAACAGG